CGGGGCGUAGCGCAGUUUGGUAGCGCGCUUGGUUCGGGACUAAGCGGUCGCAGGUUCAAAUCCUGUCGCCCCGACCA
rnacentral:tRNA from 1 species